AUUGAACGCUGGCGGCAUGCUUUACACAUGCAAGUCGAACGGUAACAGGCCGCAAGGUGCUGACGAGUGGCGAACGGGUGAGUAAUGCAUCGGAACGUGCCCAGCCGUGGGGGAUAACGCAGCGAAAGCUGUGCUAAUACCGCAUACGAUCUAUGGAAGAAAGCGGGGGACCGCAAGCCGUCGCGCGAUUGGAACGGCCGAUGUCAGAUUAGGUAGUUGGUGGGGUAAAGGCUCACCAAGCCAACGAUCUGUAGCUGGUCUGAGAGGACGACCAGCCACACUGGGACUGAGACACGGCCCAGACUCCUACGGGAGGCAGCAGUGGGGAAUUUUGGACAAUGGGCGCAAGCCUGAUCCAGCAAUGCCGCGCGCAGGAAGAAGGCCUUCGGGUUGUAAACUGCUUUUGUACGGAACGAAACGGCGAGCUCUAAUACAGUUUGCUAAUGACGGUACCGUAAGAAUAAGCACCGGCUAACUACGUGCCAGCCGCCGCCGUAACAC
rnacentral:rRNA from 1 species